AGUGAACGCUGGCGGUAGGCCUAACACAUGCAAGUCGAACGGCGGCACAGUAAGAGCUUGCUCUUACGGGUGGCGAGUGGCGGACGGGUGAGGAAUACAUCGGAAUCUACUUUUUCGUGGGGGAUAACGUAGGGAAACUUACGCUAAUACCGCAUACGACCUACGGGUGAAAGCAGGGGAUCUUCGGACCUUGCGCGAUUGAAUGAGCCGAUGUCGGAUUAGCUAGUUGGCGGGGUAAAGGCCCACCAAGGCGACGAUCCGUAGCUGGUCUGAGAGGAUGAUCAGCCACACGGGAACUGAGACACGGUCCAGACGCCUACGGGAGGCAGCAGUGGGGAAUAUUGGACAAUGGGCGCAAGCCUGAUCCAGCCAGACCGCGUGGGUGAAGAAGGCCUUCGGGUUGUAAAGCCCUUUUGUUGGGAAAGAAAAGCAGCAGGUUAAUACCCCGCUGUUCUGACGGUACCCAAAGAAUAAGCACCGGCUAACUUCGUG
rnacentral:rRNA from 1 species